rnacentral:rRNA from 1 species
GACGAACGCUGGCGGCGUGCUUAACACAUGCAAGUCGAACGGAAAGGCCCUGCUUUUGUGGGGUGCUCGAGUGGCGAACGGGUGAGUAACACGUGAGUAACCUGCCCUUGACUUUGGGAUAACUUCAGGAAACUGGGGCUAAUACCGGAUAGGAGCUCCUGCUGCAUGGUGGGGGUUGGAAAGUUUCGGCGGUUGGGGAUGGACUCGCGGCUUAUCAGCUUGUUGGUGGGGUAGUGGCUUACCAAGGCUUUGACGGGUAGCCGGCCUGAGAGGGUGACCGGCGACAUUGGGACUGAGAUACGGCCCAGGCUCCUACGGGAGGCAGCAGUGGGGAAUAUUGCACAAUGGGCGGAAGCCUGAUGCAGCAACGCCGCGUGCGGGAUGACGGCCUUCGGGUUGUAAACCGCUUUCGCCUGUGACGAAGCGUGAGUGACGGUAAUGAGUAAAGAAGCACCGGCUAACUACGUG